UACGUAGGGUGCGAGCGUUAAUCGGAAUUACUGGGCGCAAAGCGUGCGCAGGCGGUUAUGUAAGACAGUUGUGAAAUCCCCGGGCUCAACCUGGGAAUUGCAUCUGUGACUGCAUAGCUAGAGUACGGUAGAGGGGGAUGGAAUUCCGCGUGUAGCAGUGAAAUGCGUAGAUAUGCGGAGGAACACCGAUGGCGAAGGCAAUCCCCUGGACCUGUACUGACGCUCAUGCACGAAA
rnacentral:rRNA from 1 species